GCCCAGCCAUAAACCUUGAUGAUAAAGCACAAAUAUCAUCCGCCAGGGAACUACAAGCGCAUUGCUCGAAACCCAACGGACUUGGCGGUGCCCCACACCCACCUAGAGGAGCCUGUUCUAUAACUGACAAUCCCCGUUCAACCUCACCACCCCUAGCCUCUUCAGUCUAUAUACCACCGUCGUAAGCUCACCCUGUGAAGGAUUAACAGUAAGCAAGAUGGGCAAAACCCAAAACGUCAGGUCGAGGUGUAGCAUAUGGAGUGGGAAGAAAUGGGCUACAUUUUCUGAAUACAGAAUAUUACGGACAACGUCAUGAAACCUGCCGUUCAAAGGAGGAUUUAGCAGUAAAAAGAAAACAGAGAGUUCUUUUGAAGCCGGCCCUGGGGCGCGC
rnacentral:rRNA from 1 species